AUAUUUUGAAUUAAGUAUAUUCAUAAUAUGUUAUCAGACGAAUGUUGUUAAAGAUAUAGGUUGAUAUUUGUGAAGGGAAAGAGUUGCCUCUCUCCCAACACAACAUUGCACACAAGGUGAGUACUAUUUUUAAAAAGUGCAGUAGAACACUUAUUAUGAAUGAUCCUUCCGCAGGUUCACCUACGGAAA
rnacentral:misc_RNA from 1 species